rnacentral:misc_RNA from 1 species
CUGAAAUUGCUGCUGAGGCCGAGUAUGUUGUAGUGGCUGAGAUUGUGCUUGAAACUGCUGCUGAGGUUGAGUUUGAGGCUGUGAUUGUGGCUGAGAUUGAGGCAGAAAUUGCUGCUGAGGCUGAGUAUGUUGCAGUGGCUGAGAUUGUGCUUGAAAUUGCUGCUGAGACUGAGGUUGCAGUUGUGAUUGAGAUUGAGGUCGCAAUUGUUGCUGGAUUUGAGGCAGCAAAUGGGACUGAGAUGGAACUUGUAACUGGUGCUGGGGAUGAGGCUGUGCCCAUGGAACAAUAUAACUAUUGUAACUUGCCUGCCCUUGGUUUCCAGGAUAAGUUUCAGAAAUAUAUGGAUACCCUUGGGUGCUUGAGGCUGGUACUUGAGGCAUGCUCUGGUUAGCAGCAGUUGGAGUAUGAGGUGUGUGGGGUUGAUGGGAUGUUGGUGUUGAUAAGGUGAUGCUCAAAAGGUCAAUUAUAUUUUGCUCUUUUGUAGUCCUAACUGGUGCAGGUGGAUCAGGAAGAGCUAGCGCAGUGCAUG